UCAAAUCAACUCAACAAGGCCACAAGAAACCCUAAAAUCGGUUAUACUUCACAAAACAGGAGAUGAGUCGAAAUUAUACCUUUAGAUUGAAGGGUCAAGCUUCCAAUCCACCAAAUAGCAGUCCCCUUUGCCUCCUCUUGGCUAGAGCCUCCUUCUUCUUUGCUAAACAACACACAAAUGUCAAGAAAUGCCUCCUUUCACUCUCAAAUCGCUAAAGCACUUUUAGGGUUUCUCUCUAUGGACUGAUGGAUGCAAAUGACGGCCAUAAGGCCAUUUAAAUAGGUCCCAAACCCGAGAAAUUAGGGUUUCAUUAAACAGCGUGGACUCGCCGAGUCCAUAUCCUGGACUCGCCGAGUCCGAACGAAUCCCGCGUCCAGAAUCGCGACCCUACUCGGCGAGUCUGAGCUCCAACUCGCCGAGUCCCUUCUCAAAACUCAAAAUAUUAAAACAAUAAAAUACCUGGAGAUCCGGGCUGUUACAAUUCUCCCCCACUAGGAUUAGACUUCGCCCUCGAAGUCUCGCUCUAAAAUAGCUCCGGAUGCUGAGCCCGCAUCUCGCGCUCCGGCUCCCAGGUCAUCUCUGAUCCCUUCCGGUGUUGCCACUGAACCAACACCAAAGGUACCUCCUUGUUCCUCAGAACCUUGAUCUUCCGAUCUCUGAUGGCUACUGGUCUCUCGGCGUAAUUCAGGCUCGCAUCUACCUGAAUAUCCUCUAAUGGAACUACUGCCGACUCAUCGGCAAUACAUUUCCUCAAUUGCGACACAUGAAAAGUGUCGUGGAUUUGCCCCAACUCUGCUGGCAAUUCCAAACGAUAGGCUACCCGGCCUACCCUCGCAAUCACGCGAAAUGGCCCAAUAUACCGGGGCCCCAACUUGCCCCUCUUCCUGAAUCGAAUCACCCCUUUCCAAGGAGAGACCUUCAGGAGAACGAAGUCACCGACCUGAAACUCAAGCUCGGACCGGCGUCUGUCUGCAUAACUCUUCUGUCGACUCUGGGCGGUCAACAACCUCUGUCUGACCUGCUGAAUCUGCUCUGUCGUCUGAAGCACGAUCUCGGUACUGCCCAUCACUCUCUGCCCGACCUCUCCCCAGCAAAUGGGGGUCCGACACCUCCUACCAUACAACAGCUCAAAGGGUGGCAUACCAAUGCUCGAAUGAUGGCUGUUGUUGUAGGAAAACUCUGCCAAGGGUAGAUACGCAUCCCAGCUACCCCCAAAAUCCAACACACAUGCUCGAAGCAUGUCCUCAAGCGUCUGAAUCGUCCGCUCACUCUGACCGUCUGUCUGGGGAUGAUAUGCGGUACUAAAAUGCAAUCUAGUACCCAACUCCUCAUGAAAUUUCUUCCAGAAUCUGGAAGUAAAGCGCACAUCACGGUCUGAAACAAUCGAGAUCGGCACCCCAUGCCGAGAUACCACUUCUCUCACAUAUAACUCUGCCAACUUCUCUGCUGAAGAACUCUCACUGAUGGCAAGGAAGUGAGCGCUCUUCGUCAACCUAUCCACAAUCACCCAAAUUGCAUCAACUCCCCUGGCAGUUCUCGGCAAUUUGGUGAUGAAAUCCAUAGUGAUCUGUUCCCAUUUCCAUUCGGGAACCUCCAAUGGCUGCAACUUGCCAUGCGGUCUCUGGUGCUCGGCCUUAACCCUACGGCAGGUCAAGCACCUCUCAACGAACCACGCGACGUCCCUCUUCAUACAGGGCCACCAAUACUCUCUCCUCAAAUCCAAAUACAUCUUCGUAGCCCCCGGAUGGAUCGAAAAUUUCGACCGAUGAGCCUCCUCCAUCAAGGAAGUGCGCGUACCACCCACGAACGGUACCCAAAUCCGACCCUGAAAAGUCAUAAGCCCUCGCCCAUCCGUAACGAAUUCUGAAACCAAACCAACGACCCGUUCCCUCUUCUGCAUCUCCGGCUGCACAGCCUCGGCCUGUGCCCCACGAAUGGCAUCCAAUACCGGAGCUAUCAUGGUCAAUCUCAAACAUACAUCUCGCAAUGGAGUGCUCUCCGCCCUGCGGCUCAACGCAUCGGCCACCACGUUGGCCUUGCCCGGGUGGUACAGGAUCUCACAAUCAUAAUCCUUGACCACAUCUAACCACCUCCUCUGACGCAUGUUUAGAUUGGGCUGAUCCAUCAAGUACUUCAAGCUCUUAUGGUCCGUGUAUAUCGUACAUCGAACCCCAUAUAAGUAGUGGCGCCAAAUCUUGAGGGCGAACACUACUGCCCCCAACUCUAGAUCAUGCGUGGGAUAUCUUGUCUCAUGAGGCUUCAGCUGCCUCGAUGCAUAUGCUAUCACAUGACCCCUCUGCAUCAACACCGCACCCAACCCCAAAAUCGAUGCAUCACAAUAUACUACAAAAUCCUCCAUCCCUUCCGGGAGAGCUAAUACCGGGGCUUCGCACAACCUCUGGCGAAGUGUCUCAAAGGAGGUCUGCUGCUCGGGACCCCAUGAGAAUGCAACACCCUUCCGGGUCAACCUGGUGAGCGGCACUGCGAUCUUGGAGAAAUCCUUGAUAAAUCUCCGAUAAUACCCUGCUAAUCCAAGGAAGCUCCUGAUCUCAGAGGGUGACUUUGGCACCUCCCAACCCAUCACCGCCUCAACCUUGGCCGGAUCGACCAGAAUCCCUUCCUGGUUAACGAGAUGUCCUAGGAACUGGACCUCCCGUAACCAGAAAUCACACUUGGAGAACUUUGCAUAAAGCUUCUCCGAUCUCAGUACCCCAAGGACCUCCCUCAAAUGUUCCUCAUGCUGCUCCCUAGAUCUCGAAUACACCAGAAUAUCAUCGAUAAAUACAAUCACCGACCGAUCCAACAUCGGCCUACAUACCCUGUUCAUGAGAUCCAUGAACACCGCCGGGGCAUUGGUGAGCCCAAAAGGCAUCACCACAAACUCAUAAUGCCCAUAACGCGUCCUGAAAGCUGUCUUCUGGACGUCCUCAUCUCGCACCCUCACCUGAUGAUAUCCCGACCUCAAAUCGAUCUUGGAAAACCAAGAUGCUCCCUGCAACUGAUCAAAUAAAUCGUCGAUCCUCGGCAACGGGUAACGGUUCUUGACCGUCAGCUUGUUCAACUCCCGGUAAUCAAUACACAUCCGGUGUGAACCAUCCUUCUUCUUGACAAACAGAAUAGGUGCUCCCCACGGCGAGCUGCUCGGCCGAAUAAAUCCCUUCCCCAGCAACUCCUGAAGCUGCGAGGAUAACUCUUGCAUCUCUGGAGGUGCAAGACGAUAAGGCACCUUAGCUAUAGGCGCAGCCCCCGGAACCAAAUCAAUACCAAACUCUACUUGCCUCACAGGAGGUACUCCCGGCAGCUCCUCGGGAAAGACAUCUGGAAACUCACAUACCACCGGUACCUCCCCAACUGAACUCGGUCUCUCGGAAGUCGCUCGCGUAUCCAUCACAUACGCCACAAAACCCUUACAGCCCUGCUGCAGACACUGUCUCGCCCUGGCGGCCGAACAAAAGGCUGAUCCCGAACGGGUACCCUCACCGUACACCGAAAGAACUCCCCCACUAGGGUCUCGUAUAGUCACCAGCUGACGCUCACAGUCGAUAAUCGCGCCGAAUCGGCUCAACCAGUCCAUGCCCACAAUGACACAAACAUCACCCAUCGCAAUAGGAAUCAGAUCAAUCGGAAACUCAAUCCCGAAGAUCUCUAACACACAUCCCCGGAAAACCUCUGCGGCACAAAUCACUCUAUCAUCAGCUAUGGAGACUCUCAGAGGCCGACUCAGUGCCUCACGACUAGCACUGAUAUGCUGGCUAAAGGCCAAAGAUACAAAAGACCGACUCGCACCCGAGUCAAAUAACACUAAAGCAGGUACGGAAUUCACAAGAAAAGUACCUACACAUAACAUAAUAUAAGCAUAACAUCAUAUAUCAAAAUAAAUACACGAAAGGAAACAUACCAGCCACCACAUCGGGCGCGGCGCGGACCUCCUCCGCAGUCAACUGGAAAGCUCUCCCUCGAGCUCUCGGCGUCUCGGCCUUCACAGGCCGACUCUCUGUAACUCUGGUGGCGGCAGGAGCAGACCCCUGAGAUGCUCCGCGCAACUGCGGACACUCGGCCUUCCGGUGUCCGGUCUGGUUGCAGUGAAAGCACACUGCAAACCCCUUGGGGCAGUCCUUGGCCAUGUGCCCCUCCUUGCCACAUUUGUAGCAAGACCCUGCUCGGCAGACUCCGUCAUGACCCUUGCCGCACUUUCCGCAAGUGCGGCCCUUCUGGCUCCCUGGUCUGGGAUCAGCAGGCUUGGCCCGCUUGGCGGCCGGCUGCGACAACGCCGGUCGCCGAUCCCUCCCCUGAGACUCUGCCUCCUCCCUGGCCUGGGUCUCAAGCUCAAUCUCCCUCUUCCGGGCAUUUGCCUGAAGCUCGGCAAAUGUCCGGUACGAGGAGUUCGCAGCGAACUCCCGAAUAUCCCUCCUCAAGAUGCUCAAGUAGCGGCUCAUACGUGCCUGCUCAGUGGACACGUGCUCAGGGCAGAACAUCGCCCUCUCGUGGAACAUCCUCGUGAUCGCUGUAACAGACUCAGUACCCUGCUUGAGGGUCAGAAACUCCUGUGCUAAACGCUCCCUCUCCACCUGGGGAACGUACUCAUCCCGAAACAUAGUGGUGAACCUCUCCCAGGUCACCGCAGAAAGCUCAGCAGGCGAAUAAUGCGCUGUCACAAACUUCCACCAGUCCUUCGCUCCCAAGCGAAGCUGGUUCAGCGCGAACCGUACCUUCAAAUGCUCAGGAGACGAGCAAGUGAAGAAACACCCCUCAAUAUCAGAUAUCCACCUCAUAGCUGCCACCGGAUCCUGAGUACCAUCAAACUCUGGUGGUUUUGUGUUGCUGAACUCACGGAACAGCAACGCAUCCCCACCCUGCGGCCUCGCAGCAGCAAUCGCUGCGGUAGCUGCUGCAGCAGCAGCCUCAGAAAGAGCGGCAUAACGCUCAUCAAACGUCUCAAUCAAGGUGGUCUUUAUAGACCCAAACAUCUCCGGUAUCUCUGCCCUGAUGGCCGCAGCCACCUCCUCCUGAAUGAUCCGGCGGAUCUCCUCCUCACUGGUACCACUGCUCUCGGGCAUCAAACGUGUCCUCACCAUGAUCUACCUCUGAAAUACAACAUACGAUAAAUUAGAAUCCACACGAGUAUGCUCACACUCGACAACUCUUUUCUCCUUGAUUCUUGGCAUUCCAAAGAUUCUGACUUGGGCUGCACACCGCUCCGGUGCUUCCAGUAGUACGGGCCCAAUACUACUGUCCGCACCGCACCAGAAUACACUCCAAGUCCUUCUCUUUGGAUCCCAGGUCUCAAGUACUUUAUCAUGCAUAGACUACUCUCUAAUAGAUCUCUCAUAAGUCCCUUGCUGCUACCUACUCACUCUCAAGCAUCUCAUAGCAGCUCACCUCUCCCUAGGCUAAGGCAUCACACAUCAGGCCACUCUAGUCCUAAUAGCAAUACCUAGCCUACUCUAGCAUGCGGAUACAUCAUAUCAAUAUCAAUAUCACAUAAUAUAUAAAGGUAUUUUGGGAAAUCACCGUUCGGGCGCUGACUGAUCGUACACACAUCUCUUGCUCUGCGUUUUUCGAAAAUCUUUUACUCUUUUUGAAAAUACAUCUCAAAUCCUCAGUUUGAGUUCAAAUACGCCCGAAGGUGUACUCGAAUCCCUCAAACCAAGGCUCUGAUACCAACUUGUAACACCGAAAAUUUUAAAAUUUAUUUUUCACAAUUUAUAAAAACAUUUCUCUUUUAAUUUCAUAAAACAUCAAGUUUCAAAUUCCAAUAUGUAUCAUACAAAUCCCAAGAUCACAUAAUUAUAUCGAAUUCCUCUACGUGUGUACAGAUCAAGCCGGCGCCUUCCCACGGUCAUCGCUAGUACCUGAAACAACAACACUAACACUGUAAGCACAAAGCUUAGUGAGUUCCCCAAAAUACCACACAUAAAACACAUAUUAGCCACUCGAGGCCAUAACUCUAUGGGUCCGUGCACCCAACUCUGUGAACCCUCAGGUUCUAACUCUAUGAACCUUCCGGUUCCAACUCUAUAAACAUGCACAGCAUAAAUCACAUAGAAAUAAUGCAGUACAACACAUAACAUACACAUAACAUACAUACACUAACACAUAACUCUGAUUACCGACUCAAGGUAAGGUAUAGUGAGAAGACUCACCUCGCGUGUCUCGGUAUCUCACGAUCCCUGGAAAUCCCUCGUGCUCGAUCCUCCGAGCUCUAAUCCUCCUAUAACAUCACAAGACUCUAAUUAACACUUUUAUCUCUAAGGUUGACUAUCCCUAAGAAGUCAACACAGGUCAACGGUCAACGGUCAACGGUCAACUUUGACCGGACUCGGCGAGUGCACACGGCAACUCGGCGAGUCUAGACGUUCUCACCAACUCUCUAGGAUUCCCUUUCUACACGUCGAGUACUCCCCCUGACUCGACGAGUUCCACCUGGAAGAAUCGCGGGACCACCCCGACUCAACUCGCCGAGUCUCAAGAACGACUCGGCGAGUCCCAGCUCGACUCAGACCACAUGACAAUCCUCUCUAACUCGCCCUGACUCACUGGGUCAACUCCUGACUCGUCUGGACCACUCACUGGCCGGUCCAAGGCAAUCUUCAAGCUACUCGCCGAGUCUGCUCAUCGGACUCGGCGAGUCCAUUCCAUGCAAUCACUCAAACUUGCUUCUAAGGUCAGAUCUACUCCAACAAUUCAUAGAUCUGGCCCUCCUAGACUGAUUCAUCACGUAAAGUCCUAGUCUUGAUGCAUUAACAACCUCUAUAUGACUAAUUAUGAAGAAUCUUCAACAAAUCUCACUACACAAGGUCAUGACCUCCAUUGUUCUCUAUAAAGCUUGAAGAAUGAGACUCUCUGGACCUCUAUGGAUCCAGAUCCGAAGUCUCAUCACUAGCAUGGGACUAUUUGGCCAUCAAAUCAACUCAACAAGGCCACAAGAAACCCUAAAAUCGGUUAUACUUCACAAAACAGGAGAUGAGUCGAAAUUAUACCUUUAGAUUGAAGGGUCAAGCUUCCAAUCCACCAAAUAGCAGUCCCCUUUGCCUCCUCUUGGCUAGAGCCUCCUUCUUCUUUGCUAAACAACACACAAAUGUCAAGAAAUGCCUCCUUUCACUCUCAAAUCGCUAAAGCACUUUUAGGGUUUCUCUCUAUGGACUGAUGGAUGCAAAUGACGGCCAUAAGGCCAUUUAAAUAGGUCCCAAACCCGAGAAAUUAGGGUUUCAUUAAACAGCGUGGACUCGCCGAGUCCAUAUCCUGGACUCGCCGAGUCCGAACGAAUCCCGCGUCCAGAAUCGCGACCCUACUCGGCGAGUCUGAGCUCCAACUCGCCGAGUCCCUUCUCAAAACUCAAAAUAUUAAAACAAUAAAAUACCUGGAGAUCCGGGCUGUUACAUCUUUGGCUAUUUUAUUUUAUAAUUUUUGAUUUAAUCGCAUUGAACGUGUAUGAAUGUUUGGUUUUAUUUUAAUUUUAAUAUCAAUUGUCAAUAUAUGAAAUUAUUAAUGUCAAUUUUUUAAAAAGUUUUAUAUUUUUAUUGAAUGUUUUUGAUUUUGAAUGUGACUGUGUUUUAUCUCAUUCUGAGUAUCAAUGAUACACAUUUUAUUAUAUUAUUAUAAGCUAGGUUACAAACACUGGUGUUGAGGACUUUUUUGUAUUCUGUUUUCAUUUUUUUAUGUCAAUAUACUUUCGCCAUUUAUAUUAUAUUGAACAUUAUGGUUAACCAAUAUUAACCAUUAACCAAAACCAUUAACCGACAAAAACCAUUAACCAUAACCAAUAUUAACCAUACCCAAUGGCUACCAAAAUGCAUUAACCAAUCAUAAUGGUUAGACAAAAUUUCACGAUUGGUCCCUGUGGUUUACACAAUAUCGCACUUUGAGGACUUUCUAGCAAAAAGUCACGCGAAUGGUCCUUAAGGUUUCAUUUAAUUGCGUGAUUGGUCCUUGACCCUAACCCCGUCAUUUUUGAGCCGUUAGUGAAGGGGUAAAUUUGUCUUUUCAUCUUGUUGUGCAUCAGAGUAUAUAAUUUAAGGUCCGCCUUUGUAUCCUUCUACUUCUCGUUCCUUGCCUCUGUUCUUCCCUCCCUACUCACAUUCUAUUCCAAAAUUGAAGAAGAUGGUGAUAUGCCACUGUGGAAGGCCGGCGAUUUUGGUGACAUCGUGGACUGACUUGAACCCAGGUCGUCGAUUUUGGUCAUGCUCAAGGUUAGGAGGAACAUGCAGCUUUUUUGGAUGGUUCGACCCUCCCAUGUGCCCUAGGUCAACUGUUGUGAUUCCGGGGUUGUUGCGUGGAAGAAACAAUCUCGAAGCAAGAUUGAUGAUGGUGAAAUGGCUACUUUGUCUGAGUUGGUUGUUUUUCAUGGUGUGUUACCUUUUCAAGUAAAAAAUCAAGAAGCAUUUGGGGGGGAAAUCUAUAACUUGGAAUCUGUGUUUUGGUCCCAUUUUUUUCAUAGCUUUUGAAGGAUUUUCCCUAUGAUUGUAUGUAAUGUUGGGACAAGAAAAUGUAACAGAUAUAAUAUGUAAUGUAAGUUUGAUGUUUUGUUUUAAUGUGAUGGAUAUUAUAUUAGCAAGGAAGGAAAU
rnacentral:lncRNA from 1 species